rnacentral:rRNA from 1 species
UCCAUGAGUAAAGUGGCGUACGGGUGAGUAACACGUGGGGUAAUCUACCUUCUGGUGGGGAAUAACAUUGGGAAACCGAUGCUAAUACCGCAUAACCCCGCAAGGGAAAAGGAGAAAUUCGCCGGAAGAGGAGCCCGCGGCUGAUUAGCUAGUUGGUAGGGUAACGGCCUACCAAGGCAAUGAUCGGUAGCCGGCCUGAGAGGGCACACGGCCACACUGGCACUGAAACACGGGCCAG